rnacentral:lncRNA from 1 species
GGCGAGCAAUCUAAAUAUCACUCGAAGGUGGAGUUCUGAAUCACACAAGGACAGUGCGUAUUUGCGCGUGUUCGAGAGUAGCUAAAGCUAGAUGUAAAAUAAAACUCAAGUCUGGAAAUAAACAUAGACUCUAUCUAAAUAGAGGAGAGGAGGGGGCGCAGCCCCUAGCGGCCAAGAGGGGGCGUGCGACCAGGAAGGGCGCGCGGUAAGGAGGGGGCGUGCGACCAGGAAGGACGCACGGCAAGGAGGGGGGGCGUGCAUGCCCCUGGCGUCCAACCCUAGGCGCCCACACAUGGGCCUCCUGUUGGGCCAGCUUCUAUUCUUUUGGGCCUUCAUUC